GUAAGGAUGGCCGAACGGUUCAAGGCACUGCGUUCAGGUCGCUGUCCAAUUUGUGAGGGUAGGUUUGAAUCCCACUUCUGACA
rnacentral:tRNA from 1 species